rnacentral:rRNA from 1 species
CCUACGGGGGACAGCAGUGAGGAAUAUUGGUCAAUGGGCGCGAGCCUGAACCAGCCAAGUAGCGUGAAGGAUGACUGCCCUACGGGUUGUAAACUUCUUUUAUAAAGGAAUAAAGUGAGGCACGUGUGCCUUUUUGUAUGUACGUUAUGAAUAAGGAUCGGCUAACUCCGUGCCAGCAGCCGCGGUAAUACGGAGGAGCCGAGCGUUAUCCGGAUUUCUUGGGUUUAAAGGGAGCGUAGAUGGGUUGUUAAGUCAGUUGUGAAAGUUUGCGGCUCAACCGUAAAAUUGCAAUUGAUACUGGCAGUCUUGAGUACAGUUGUGGUAGGCGUAAUUCGUGGUGUAGCGGUGAAAUGCUUAGCUAUCACGCAGAACUCCGAUUGCGCCGGCAGCUUACUACACUGCCACUGCCAUUGAUGCUCGACCGUGUGGGUCUCAAACAGGCUUAGAUACCCGAGUAGUC